UGGGCAUUGUGUGUAGAUGAGUGAGAAAACUAAAUAAUUUUAAUCCAUGUUGAAUUCAGGAUGUAACACAACAUAAUGUGGAAUAAGUCGAGGGGUAUGAAUACUUCCUGAAUGCACUGUAGCUAUUUGAUAAUGUCCAUGUGCAUGUGCAAAUAUUAACGCAGACUGGAAUCCGACACGGUUUCAAUGGAACUAUCAAAACAAGUCAGACAAACGUCAACCCUCAACAUGUCAACAGCGCGUAUGGGCACGGUUUAGAUGAGACUCAUCUCUUGACAGUAUGGAAGAUGUUCGCGUCUGCUACCAAGUGCUCCAUAGAGACCUAACAGCUCUGUGUUUGAGGACCGACGCUGGAGACAGGGAGUGAACAUUUAAUAACCAACGGACAGGAACAGAAUACGAACAUCAAACAAAAGAAUAACAGCUUCUGGACAAGGGAAACGUAACCGACAAUAAUGCUGACACGGGGAACCAACUGAGGAACAGAUCGAGGGGCAAUCAACAAACGUGAAGGAGUCCAGACGCAGACGUCAUGUGAUAGAAGGGGCAGGUUUCAUGUUGUGAGGGGAAGCACAGGGAGGGCUCAGUUAUGGAACAACCAGCUACUCCAGUUCAGGAUGUGAGACUACCAAGAGAGUAGAGGCCUGUCUGAUGAUAAUUAUACAGACCUGAGCCCUAGGACCAUGCCUCAGGACUACCUGGCUUGAUGACUCCUUGCUGUCCCCAGUUCACCUGGCCGUGCUGCUGCUCCAGUUCCAACUGUUCUGCCUGCAGCUAUGGAACCCUGACCUGUUCAUCGGACGUGCUACCUGUCCCAGACCUGCUGUUUUCAACUCUCUAGAGGCAGCAGGAGCGGUAGAGAUACUCUCAAAGAUCGGCUAUGAAAAAGCCAACUGACACUUAAUCUUGUGUUACUGACUUGUUGCACCCUCGACAACUACUAUGAUUAUUAUUAUUUGACCAUGCUGGUCAUUUAUGAACAUCUAAACAUCUAGGCCAUGUGCUGUUAUAAUCUCCACCCGGCACAGCCAGAAGAGGACUGGCCACCCCUCAUAGCCUGGUUCCUCUCUAGGUUUCUUCCUAGGUUUUGGCCUUUCUAGGGAGUUUUUCCUAGCCACCGUGCUUCUACACCUGCAUUGCUUGCUGUUUGGGGUUUUAGGCUGGGUUUCUGUACAGCACUUUGAGAUAUCAGCUUAUGUAAGAAGGGCUAUAUAAAUACAUUUGAUUUGAUGAUAAUUAUACAGUAAGUCUAUAGACCUGUCUGAUGAUAAUUAUACAGUAAGUCUAUAGACCUGUCUGACCCCACAUCUCAAGGAGCUGGACCAAAUCUGUGUUAAUUAUGUUUUUAAAUUGUUUAUUUAACCUUUAUUUAACUAGGCAAGUCAGUUACAUCUGGGUUAAUAACUCCAGUGUUACAGUACCACCCAGUAAACAGGACCUGGACUAAAUAUGGGUUAAUAACUCCAGUGUUAGUACCUACCAUUAAACAGCAGGCCAAUAACCUAUUCAUAAAGCCUUUCUCUCUUCAUGAAUCAUCUUCACUAUGGUCUUGAAGGGACAGGAAGGGUCUGUUCAGUGAAUUUCACAGAGAGUAGAAAAGUAGUGCCCUACUUUAUAAA
rnacentral:lncRNA from 1 species